rnacentral:rRNA from 1 species
UACAGAGGGUGCGAGCGUUGUUCGGAAUUAUUGGGCGUAAAGGGCGCGUAGGCGGUGCGGUAAGUCACCUGUGAAACCUCUGGGCUUAACUCAGAGCCUGCAGGCGAAACUACCGUGCUGGAGUGUGGGAGAGGUGCGUGGAAUUCCCGGUGUAGCGGUGAAAUGCGUAGAGAUGUGGAGGAACACCGAUGGCGAAGGCAGCCCCCUGGGCUAACACUGACGCUCAUGCACGAAAGCGUGGGGAGCAAACAGG